rnacentral:rRNA from 1 species
UACGUAGGGGCAAGCGUUGUCCGGAUUCAUUGGGCGUAAAGCGCGUGUAGGCGGCCAGGUAGGUCUGGUGUGAAAACUCGAGGCUCAACCUCGAGAGGUCAUCGGAAACCAUCUGGCUAGAGUCCGGAAGAGGAGAGUGGAAUUCCCGGUGUAGCGGUGAAAUGCGCAGAUAUCGGGAAGAACACCCGUGGCGAAAGCGGCUCUCUGGAACGGUACUGACGCUGAGACGCGAAAGCGUGGGGAGCGAACAGG